UUUAAAAAUCAUGGGUUUCCGUGUAUAAUGUUUGACCGUCCGUCUUAUUUUAAAACUUUAUAAAAAUAUUUUUAAAAAUAAGUCACGCAUAAAGUGUUAUUUAUUUUUUAUCAUCUAAUAACAAUAAAAAUACUAAUGAUAAAAAAAUUCAAAUAAGACGGACGGUCAAACGUCUAACACGGAAAUUCUCAAGUGCAAUUAUA
rfam:Oryza meridionalis cultivar OR44 (W2112) chromosome 1, whole genome shotgun sequence.